rnacentral:lncRNA from 1 species
GCACCUCAAUUGCUUGAGGAAUUGACCGGACGACCUCCAGGAAGUUGGAGUCGUGUUCGGGUGACCUCAAUGUCCCCCGGGUCACCACCAUGCUUCAUGGUGAUGCUAGAUCUCGAAUGUCUUCGUUUUGAGCGGAAGAAUGGAUGUCCAUGAGAUUUUCUCAAAAUUUGGACCAUUAUAUCUCUUCCAGGUUGACCAAUUUGGUCAAACCAAAGCCUAUAUGAGUCGGUGUCCCAAAUAUCAUGUAUGGCGACAACAUGGGAUUCGAUAUUCGAAUCGUAGUGACAUACAGUUCACUAGAUUGACUCAUGAAUUUCUCCAAGAUGCGCUUCAGUUCGCAUUCAUGAGGAGGUAUACACAAAAGAAUUCUUGUUCAUUCUCAUGUUUUCAAAUGAAAACCAUUAGCAGGAAUGUCUUUAAAACUUAACAUGGUUCCUUAGAAUGUUGUGGAUAGUUCCACUAUCUGCGAAGCAAUCAAUGUCUCUAUGAGACAUAACUACAAGGAGUAAAUAGGCGAGUAAAUAGUUCUACUUUAACCAUUUAGAAGGAUUGAAAGAAGCUACGAAAAGCUGCAAUUCCGAGAGUGCAUAAAAAUUUCCGCGCAGAAUGACCUUUGCGCACUAAAACAGCCAUAACUUCUUCGUUAAAAUAUAUAUGGACGAACUGUGAAAAGUUCUGAAAACUAGACUCGUAGAGCUUUCCAAUGAUAUAAAGCUCACUGUCUGGUUCGUCCGGAGCUGUUCAAAAAGCUCAAACGAAGUUGACUGUCCAGAAGGGACAGAUUGCUGUUUUUCGCAGAUUUGGCAUGUGCGAAGCUGUGAAGCUUGCAGGUGGCGUGUAGGCUUUUGCCUUUGCCAAAAGUGACGUGUGUAUGAUCAAAACCAAGUCCUUUUGGUCGUUCUAAGGUCGUAAACUCCAUGACUAGUUAGCAAAAGCUCCCUGACAUGAACAUAAACUAACUCAGAGGACCUAGAGGAUCCGAUCAUGAUGAUAAUUUUCCAGCUUUGAUAAGUCUUUAACGUCUUUUGCAAGACGGCAAUUGGUUUAAUAGCGUAGGGGGAUCUAAAAUCAAAAGCUUUCGGUAACUCCAAGUCAGUAUGACCAGGCAUGUCCGUGGAGGGUCGGUAGUGCGAGACACACUUAAAACCACUAUCUCCUUAAUUUCAGACAAUUCUAAGACAUCACACUGAGCUUGGAUGAGCCUAGUUGAACAAUUGUUGAUGAAAAAUCCACUAUAGGGUAGAAGACUUAACCGGAAACACGUGGGCGAUCCUCCUUGAGGAUGCAGUGCCAAGAGUCACCUUCAAAGGAAGGGACCAAAAUCGGCACAAUAUGCCAUGUUUCUAAGGACGAUGUAAGUGUACAUCUUGAUUGUAAAUCAAUAUGAACCAUAAGAGGAGAAUAGUUUCACUUCGAAAAAAAUUCUCAAGGCAUUCAUUAUUGCUAAUGUGAGUACAUCGAGGUCUCAAAUAGACAAAGGACGUUGAUACAACGCCUUAGUACAUAUAACUUGGAACGAAAAUCAAUGUCUAGCCGAUGACAUCA